GGGAUUUGAGUGCUUGUAAUUUAGCGGCUAACACAGCCUCUGCCUGUUUCGGCUGGCAGGGACAGCGUGUUUUAGUUUCGCCGAGACCGAUAACUUCAAAUGCUCGCCAAGGACGAAUCUGAGGUUUUACAAAUGAGACACAAACUAUAGCAGACAAGCAACACAAACAUGAGGAUUUUAGGGGAGAGGUGAAGCCUCUGAGGACUUCGACUGUCAGAAGGGAAAACAUACACCAACCUGAAGGAAUGUCUUUGAAGUCUCAAUGAGGAGUUAUUGAUACAUAACACAAAAAGGAAAGGAAACCACAGCCACGAAUGCACAAAGAGCCGAGCUCUGAAGGUAGUAAACCAGACAUACAACAUGGGCUUCACUACAGAUCCAUCAGACUGCUCAACCUCUCCAGGAUGGCAAACACAGAUAUCAUAACCACACACUUUACCGUUCCGGAACAUUUGAAUAGGUUUGUGAGUCAGUUGAGAUAGGGCCACAAAAUUAUAGUCAUUUCCAUAUAGAUGAAACUGAUAAAGUGUCAACCGAGAAGCAAUUCCUUCUCAACACCUUUCCAGCCCAAAACGUGACCUUCCAACUAUGCUUUCUUUACCAGAAACAGUCAACAUGAGGCAUUAGUUUCGUUUGUUUCAUAACGAACCGACAAGGAGGAUGAGACUUCAUUCACCAAACCAGAUAUUAACAGGAAAAUGUAGUGACUGAUCAACGCAAACCAAGACCUAACCUAUUACCUUGGCUAGCCAAGCGACUAGCCAUUACACUUCCUCACCGCAAACAAAGUUCGCUCUAUGUUAGCGAGCUCAUCCGAAACUUCUUCACCUGAGGGGAAACCCUCGUUGAAGCCAAAAAGCAAGAGAGGGGAAACAAAACCUAACACUCCCACCUAAAAAGGAAAUGUCUGUCACGUUCAUCUGUACAUCCACGCCUAGGAGGGCCACACGUGCCGCUUCCUCGGAAAGAACAGACCGCGUUGCGCUCACUCCUACUCGUGGCGCUCCCUUCAACUAUCAGACCAUUUUGUAUUGUGAAGUGUAUUGCAAUAUAGUAAUUGCCAUAUUUCUGAUUGCCGUUUUUUUAGGCAGACAGCCAUCAUUGUAGGACGUCUGUGUGAUGCAUGCCAUAAAAGUCUGGAAAUCUAUUAAUCAUUAAUCAGACUGUGACAUUGACAAUAUCGGUUUCUGAUUAUGUCAUUCAUUCUCGUGUACCAGGAGGUGAGGGAGAUGUCAGCUUCAGGUUAUGUCAUUAAGACACCAGACAUCAAUUGCCGUCAUUAAACCUGUCAAAGAUUGCACAAGCAUGGCCCAAUCUGUCAAACACAAUUGUUCUUGCCAACACAAAGAGCGAUAGACAAAAAGUUGAGAUUUGAAUAGUUGUUACAGUGAUAUUAUUUAAAGGAUAACAACUAUUAUAUAACACACACAGUUGUGAAAUACUCCUUCCUAUUAUUCAGCCACAGACAUUUAUGAAGGCCCAUAAAUCCAGGAUACAGAACAAUACGUGGGGGACAAAUCAAAUCAUCUUCAAUGCCCAACCGAAGUGUUUUCCAGUUGUGCUGAAUAGACAAAUCUCUUAGUAAUCUUUACAAAGGAGCACGUGAGGAAAGCAGAUCCUAAGGGCAGGUAACACCUGGUU